rnacentral:lncRNA from 1 species
UGGCAGGUGAGGGGGUGCACCGGGGCUCAGCGGCUUCUCCCAACUCCUCAGGAGAAGGCCAUCAGCAUCUGGGAGUCGAAGGACUUUUUCUUUGAACUUGAGCCUCUCCCGGGGGCCGUGGAGGCUGUGAAGCAGAUGGUGAACCUGCAGAACACGGAUGUGUUUAUCUGCACGAGCCCCAUCAAGAUGUACAAGUACUGUCCCUACGAGAAGGGGCCGAGCCCAACCCCAGCUGGGAACACGUGCUCUUCACGGCCUGUCAUAACCAGCAUGUGCAGCUGCAGCCGCCGCGCCGCCGGCUGCACUCGUGGGCGGACGACUGGAAGGCCAUCCUGGACAGCAAGCGGCCCCGCUGAGCGCGCAGUGGAGCUGGGGGCCGGGGUGCCCUCGUCCCGCUGCACGGCCCCUCGCUUCUCCAGCCCUGCCAGGCCUUAACCUGUUCUCAAGGCAGCUCUGAAGGACCCCCUGGGGGACCAAGACGAGGGCUCCCGGGCAGUGGGGGCGCCCCCGGGCGGCGCUGAGGCCGGCAGUCCUCACCCACCCCGCCGUGGGUCUGCACCUGUCGGCACCCAUCCGCAAGGAGUGCCAGGAACGCGAUGGGAGAGCGCGGACACGAGCCCGCCGCCUCGCCCGCGGCACCCCUGCGCCCGCCCGGCCUCCGCCAGUGACUGUCCGUCCGCUCAGCAGGUCCCCGUGGCCGCCAGCUCUGUGCUCCGGCCCGCGGGCCACACUCAGGGC